UACGUAGGGCGCGAGCGUUGUCCGGAAUUACUGGGCGUAAAGAGCUCGUAGGUGGUUUGUCGCGUUGUUCGUGAAAACCGGGGGCUUAACCCUCGGCGUGCGGGCGAUACGGGCAGACUUGAGUACUGCAGGGGAGACUGGAAUUCCUGGUGUAGCGGUGGAAUGCGCAGAUAUCAGGAGGAACACCGGUGGCGAAGGCGGGUCUCUGGGCAGUAACUGACGCUGAGGAGCGAAAGCGUGGGGAGCGAACAGG
rnacentral:rRNA from 1 species